rnacentral:rRNA from 1 species
AGAGUUUGAUCCUGGCUCAGGAUGAACGCUAGCGGCAGGCCUAACACAUGCAAGUCGAGGGGCAGCGGGAGGUAGCAAUACCUUGCCGGCGACCGGCGCAAGGGUGCGCAACGCGUGAGCAACAUGCCCGCAUCAGGGGGAUAACCUCUGGAAACGGAGACUAAUACCCCAUGGCACCGGGAGGGGGCAUCCCCAUCCGGUUAAAGCUUCGGUGGAUGCGGAUUGGCUCGCGUGACAUUAGCUGGAUGGCGGGGCAACGGCCCACCAUGGCUACGAUGUCUAGGGGUUCUGAGAGGAAGAUCCCCCACACUGGAACUGAGACACGGUCCAGACUCCUACGGGAGGCAGCAGUGAGGAAUAUUGGACAAUGGAAGGAAUUCUGAUCCAGCCAUGCCGCGUGCAGGUUACGGCCCUACGGGUCUUAAACUGCUUUUGCAGGGGGGCAAUAAGGUCCACGUGUGGACCGAUGAGAGUACCCUGCGAAUAAGCAUCGGCUAACUCCGUGCCAGCAGCCGCGGUAAUACGGAGGAUGCGAGCGUUAUCCGGAUUCAUUGGGUUUAAAGGGUGCGUAGGCGGUCUGUUAAGUCAGCGGUGAAAUACCCCGGCUCAACCGGGGGGGUGCCGUUGAUGCUGGCGGACUGGGAUACGGAUGCUGUGGGAGGAAUGUGUGGUGUAGCGGUGAAAUGCAUAGAUAUCACACAGAACACCGAUUGCGAAGGCAUCUCACAAAUCCGGGAUCGACGCUGAUGCACGAAAGUGCGGGGAUCAAACAGGAUUAGAUACCCUGGUAGUCCGCACUGUAAACGAUGAUGACUAGCUGUUGGCGAUAGAAUGUCAGUGGCCAAGCGAAAGCGAUAAGUCAUCCACCUGGGGAGUACGGCCGCAAGGCUGAAACUCAAAGGAAUUGACGGGGGCCCGCACAAGCGGAGGAACAUGUGGUUUAAUUCGAUGAUACGCGAGGAACCUUACCCGGGCUCGAACGGCUGGGGAAUAUUCCAGAGAUGGGAUAGUCUUCGGACUCCAGCCGAGGUGCUGCAUGGUUGUCGUCAGCUCGUGCCGUGAGGUGUCGGCUUAAGUGCCAUAACGAGCGCAACCCUUGUCGUCAGUUGCCAUCAGGUAGUGCUGGGGACUCUGGCGAGACUGCCACCGCAAGGUGCGAGGAAGGGGGGGAUGACGUCAAAUCAGCACGGCCCUUACGUCCGGGGCGACACACGUGUUACAAUGGCAGGUACAGAGGGGAGCUACACGGCGACGUGAUGCGAAUCUCGAAAGCCUGUCCCAGUUCGGAUUGGAGUCUGCAACCCGACUCCAUGAAGUUGGAUUCGCUAGUAAUCGCGCAUCAGCCACGGCGCGGUGAAUACGUUCCCGGGCCUUGUACACACCGCCCGUCAAGCCAUGGGAGCUGGGGGCGCCUGAAGUCCGGGACCGCGAGGACCGGCCAAGGGUGAAACCGGUGACUGGGGCUAAGUCGUAACAAGGUAACC